CCUGGAUUUUGUGGCUGAAGGAUUAGUGGGACUAUCACUGUCUUUAAAAAUGUCUUCAUUUGGAUCAAAAGCCUCAUUUUCCUGAUUUGAGCCUGUUGUAGAAACCUGGU